rnacentral:rRNA from 1 species
CAAUAGCGUAUAUUAAAGUUGUUGCGGUUAAAAAGCUCGUAGUUGGAUUUCUGCUUAGGACAGCCGGUCCGCACUACGUGCGUGUAUCUGGUUUGGCCUGGGCAUCCUAUCCGAAGGGGAUACUGUGCUUGAUUGCAUGGUUUUCAGUCGGGUACUUUUACUUUGAGGAAAUUAGAGUGUUCACGGCAGGCAAUCGCCCUGAAUAUAUUAGCAUGGAAUAAUAAUAUAGGAUCUGAUGCCUAUUUUGUUGGUUUCUAGGUGUUAGAUAAUGAUUAAUAGGGACAAUUGGGGGCAUUCGUAUUAUGGCGUCAGAGGUGGAAUUCUUGGAUUGCCAUACGACGAACUACUGCGAAAGCAUUUGCCAAGGAUGUUUUCAUUGA